AAUAUUUUGAAAAACAUUUUUACAGAAAUUAGGUUUUACAUAAAGUUUUAAAGGUAUUUCGUUGUAAUUUUAAAUGUACCUCCAUUUUAGGGGAUAUUAAACUUGGAAAGUGUUCAUCCUUAGUGAAGCAAAAAAUUAGAAAUCCACUUUUAUAAGAGAAAAUUUAAAAAUGAAAAUACUCAGUUUAAAUAAAAAACACCAGGCCGAGAAUGGAACUCAUUUAAAAUUUCUGCAACAAAGCCUUAAAAAGCCAUUCAGAAAAACACCCCCUCCCUUCCCCCUGACCCCCCCCCUCCCUUCCCCCUGAAACAUCUCUUGAAAUCUUGAUCCAAAAAUGAGAUGUCUUAUUACUCGUAUUCAUUUAGUACCCACCGUACUUCUGAAAUUUUUUUAACCUUUGAACGUUUUAUCUUUGUUAAAUGGUAUAUUUAUAAUGUUGUUUAUAUAUCGAUGUAUAAAAGGCGACACUUUGAUAGCCACUUUAUAUCGCCUAUUGAUUGUUAAAUGUAAUCAUCUUUUUUGUUUAAAUUGUUUCAACUAAGUUGCGGUGAAAAUGAUUACUUAUCAAUACUAUUUAACCCUUCAAAAUCAAUGGUGUAAUCAUCUUUCUAUUUUUAUCAGGUUUUUGUUUAAUUUGCUUCUCUAAACAAUCUAAUACAAUAACUCUAGUCAAAAUUUGUUGAAUUAUUAGCUAUUUAUGUAGCAAGCUUUGUCUGAAAAUAUACUCUUGGUGCGCGCGUUCAAUUCUUUGAUAAAAAUACUCAUACAAGAACAAGAAAACUAAAUUGUUAAACUCUUCAGUUAAACCAUUCGUUUGUUAUUGUUUUUAUUAUUAUAUAAUUAAAUAAUGAUUUUGCAUUAAAAUUUAAAAGUGUAAGCAUUAUUUUAUAAUAGUUAUGUAUUGGCUAACUGCGAUCGUAUGAACAUUUUGUGAUUGUAAUAGUUAAAUUUUGUACGAGCUGUUUGCCAGAUUUUAACCAGAUUCAGAAUUAAGGGUAUAUGUUUGGAUCUAAAUGAUUUUGGGGUUCUAAGAUUUUCCUUUAAAAAUUCUUGCCUUUUAAUUGGCUGGUCUGUAAAACGUCUAUUUCCACAAUUUUAUGAAUAUCAUUAACGUAUGCGAAUUUGGAACUUAUUCUGAAUUAUGAACGAUUAAAGUCAAAAAAUCAUAUUUUUUUCAUUAAAUUUACUUCAAUUUUGUUUGCGUUUAUUUAAUUAAAUUUAUUUUGAACGUCAGAAUGAAAUCGUAAAAUAAUUUUAUCGAUUGUUCUCUCUCUAUCAUAUUAUUAUAAUUCAACCCCUGAACAUGCUUCCCUAAAUAAAACAAUAAAAUUAAAAGGAGAAACAAAAAAUAUUUUCCAGCUAUUUAUCAUCUAGCAGACUAGAAUUUUAAUCUAUUCGAUGUCAGAUUCACAACGGUACCCUUGGAAACCUUUAUCUGACCAGUUAUUUGGACUGAACUGUCUGAUCUCUUUCUUUCUUUAAACAUUUUUAUUUUGACAAUUCCUUAUCUUUUAUGUUUUUCUGGAGUAGAAAUGCGCCAGCCUCUUCUGUCGAGGUUUCAAAUUGUCGGACAAAGCUUUUAUGGGUACCAUUGUGAAUCAGGUAAGUCCAUCUUUGCUCAGAGGGUCACUUAAAAGUUUGACAAUGUUUUCGUCUGAAAAUUAUUUUCUUAAAUUUUUCCUAGAUCGUUCUAUUUUACGAUUGGUGAUCUUUUCAACAAAAAAAAUAGUCAAUCCUUAGAAUAAUUUCUAAAUAUCCAAUAAUAUUCUUAAUUCUGGACCUUGUCCAGGGUAGGAUCUGAAGGAUGGCAAACUGUUGAAUAUUUAUUUAUCUAUUCGUCAUGUUUAUCAAUCGCAAAUAUAUCAUGUAAUCAA
rnacentral:lncRNA from 1 species